GCCCAGACUCCUACGGGAGGCAGCAGUGGGGAAUAUUGCACAAUGGGGGGAACCCUGAUGCAGCGACGCCGCGUGAGUGAAGAAGUAAUUCGUUAUGUAAAGCUCUAUCAGCAGGGAAGAAAAUGACGGUACCUGAGUAAGAAGCCCCGGCUAACUACGUGCCAGCAGCCGCGGUAAUACGUAGGGGGCAAGCGUUAUCCGGAUUUACUGGGUGUAAAGGGGGCGCAGACGGCAGCGCAAGCCAGGAGUGAAAGCCCGGGGCCCAACCCCGGGACUGCUCUUGGAACUGCGCGGCUGGAGUGCAGGAGGGGCAGGCGGAAUUCCUGGUGUAGCGGUGAAAUGCGUAGAUAUCAGGAGGAACACCGGUGGCGAAGGCGGCCUGCUGGGCUGCGACUGACGUUGAGGCCCGAAAGCGUGGGGAGCAAACAGGAUUAGAUACCCCAGUAGCC
rnacentral:rRNA from 1 species